rnacentral:rRNA from 1 species
GAUGAACGCUGGCGGCGUGCCUAAUACAUGCCAGUCGAGCGAACAGAUGAGGAGCUUGCUCCUCUGACGUUAGCGGCGGACGGGUGAGUAACACGUGUAUAACCUACCUAUAAGACUGGGAUAACUUCGGGAAACCGGAGCUAAUACCGGAUAAUAUAUUGAACCGCAUGGUGCAAUAGUGAAAGACGGUUUUGCUGUCACUUCUAGAUGGAUCCGCGCCGCAUUAGCUAGUUGGUAAGGUAACGGCUUACCAAGGCAACGAUGCGUAGCCGACCGGAGAGGGUGAUCGGCCACACUGGAACUGAGACACCGUCCAGACUCCUACGGGAGGCAGCAGUAGGGAAUCUUACGCAAUGGGCGAAAGCCUGACGGAGCAACGCCGCGUGAGUGAUGAAGGUCUUCGGAUCGUAAAACUCUGUUAUUAGGGAAGAACAAAUGUGUAAGUAACUAUGCACGUAUUGACGGUACCUAGUCAGAAAGCCACGGCUAACUACGUG